AAUGGUCUGAAACGUUAUAUUUUAUGUUAAUAUGUUGUCUAUACUCUAAUACACUAUAUUUAGGUUUUACCAAAGUCACAUUAUAUGGACCAUACAAGUAGAACAAGUCUGUAUACUGUGCAUUUGUAACCAGCUAUUAGUUACCUAUUACUGCCUAUUACAUAUAAUUAAUAUAAUUUUUUAGAAGUCUCGUAUUACGUGCGAGUACACAUUUUUCAUAAAUUAAUAUGUAUGAACACGAAAACGCAAAUUCACACUAAGAUUUAUAUUAAUCGCUCAUUUAUAAUAAUUGUGUAGAAACAAUUAUGUAGGUACAAGAAUAUUAUUUUAAUUUGUGAAACGCAUGCCACAGAAUGACUUUUUUUUAGGUACCUACCUAACUGCUACAGGUUAUUUAACAAUAAGCACAUCUGCAUACGUAUUACCUAUUACAUGGAGUACUUCAAUUUGUGACGUAUUGAUAAUACAGUCAUAUAAAUACUUGGUAGGUUAUUUAUCUAUUAUUUAUCUACUCCUAUCUACUCCUCUCAUUACCUAUAAAAAUUAUAGACACACAAAUUAGGUAAUAUAUAGGUUAGAUGUAAGGUGUAGGUGUAACAGCAUUUUAGGGGCUAUUGUAAUUCCCACUUCCAGGACUUCAUCAUACAUACAGCCGACAGCCCGAUGACCUACAUUUUUGUGUAUUCUGGUCUACCCUAUGAUGGCCGCGAAGUAACGAUCACGUCACCGUUUAUCAGAUUGCCCAAUUUGAAAGAGUCUCCAACAAUUUCAUCGGAUAGGUACGCCAUAAACCGUGGCAUAGCGCUGAUUCAGCAUCAUUUUGUCCGGAUCAAUAUCUACAAAAAUGACGUUCCAAUUAUUAGAAGCUACUAAUAUAGUUCAGUGUCUUAGUCGAACAGUCAGCUGUACGAAGCUUCCGCUGUGCCACAAAACGGGUCGACGCCGGUCGCUGAACAUGGGAAGUCCUCAAGUCCACCCAGCAUCGUAUUGAUGAAUCAACAAUACAUCUUACAUCUAUCAUUGCAAUCUUAUAAUUAUUCACCUGAAUGCAUGUAAUCCUGAAUGUACAGUUAAUUUAUUACUACCAAUCUACAAAGUCAACACUUGAACAAAAAAAUAAUAGGCCACAAAUAUAAACGGACAGUUCGUUAAACCGGAUAAGUUGUAACAUAAACUCGCAAAUUUCGUUUGAUCAGGUUAUUUUCAUAAAAUAUUUCGAUACUAUCAAGUUUCAGCUCAUCGGAGUGAGAUGAUUAGAUAAAGAUGGAUGAAGAUAGCUGUUUCUUCGGCGAUGGUGGCACUCUAGCUACGUUUCACCGGAAGAGUAGAUGUUUACGAUUCUGGCUGUAUUCUGGAGCGUUUCCUCAUGGGCGUCGCAAUUCACACACGUCACGGAUUCCGCCGAAGGAGUCGAUAAUUAAAUGUCUUUGUCGAACAGUCAGCUGUACGAAGUUUCCGCUGUGCCACAAGGCGGGUCGACGCCGGUCGCUGAACAUGGGAAGUCCUCAAGUCCGCCCAGCAUCGUAUUGAUGAAUCAACCAUACAUCUUACAUCUUACAUCUAACAUCUUACAUCUUACAUCGAUCAUUGCAAUCUUAUAAUUAUUCACCUGAAUGCAUGUAAUCCUGAAUGUACAGUUAAUUUAUUACUACCCAUCUACAAA